UAGGGAAUCUUCCGCAAUGGGCGAAAGCCUGACGGAGCAACGCCGCGUGAGUGAUGAAGGUCUUCGGAUCGUAAAACUCUGUUAUUAGGGAAGAACAAAUGUGUAAGUAACUAUGCACGUCUUGACGGUACCUAAUCAGAAAGCCACGGCUAACUACGUGCCAGCAGCCGCGGUAAUACGUAGGUGGCAAGCGUUAUCUGGAAUUAUUGGGCGUAAAGCGCGCGUAGGCGGUUUUUUAAGUCUGAUGUGAAAGCCCACGGCUCAACCGUGGAGGGUCAUUUGAAACUGGAAAACUUGAGUGCAGAAGAGGAAAGUGGAAUUCCAUGUGUAGCGGUGAAAUGCGCAGAGAUAUGGAGGAACACCAGUGGCGAAGGCGACUUUCUGGUCUGUAACUGACGCUGAUGUGCGAAAGCGUGGGGAUCAAACAGG
rnacentral:rRNA from 1 species